AGAGUUUGAUCAUGGCUCAGGACGAACGCUGGCGGCGUGCUUAACACAUGCAAGUCGCGCGAUUCUCGAAGUUCGGGGUUGGGAGUUCGAACCUCGAACUUCGAACCUCGAACUUCGAGAAUAGCGGCGGACGGGUGAGUAACACGUGGAUAACCUACCCAUUAGACCGGGAUAACACCGGGAAACUGGUGCUAAUACCGGAUAAGCUCUUUAGAGUAAAAGCCUUAAAGAGGAAAGGGGAAACUCACUAAUGGAUGGGUCCGCGUCCUAUUAGCUAGUUGGUAGGGUAACGGCCUACCAAGGCGACGAUGGGUAGCCGGCCUGAGAGGGUGACCGGCCACACUGGGACUGAGACACGGCCCAGACUCCUACGGGAGGCAGCAGUGGGGAAUAUUCCGCAAUGGGGGAAACCCUGACGGAGCAAUGCCGCGUGAGUGAAGAAGGCCUUUGGGUCGUAAAACUCUGUCUUGAGGGACGAAAAAAAUGACGGUACCUCAAAAGAAAGCCCCGGCUAACUACGUGCCAGCAGCCGCGGUAAAACGUAGGGGGCGAGCGUUGUCCGGAAUUACUGGGCGUAAAGGGCGUGUAGGCGGCCUGUGUAGUCAAGUGGUGAAAACCCGGGGCUUAACUUCGGGAUGGCCCUUGAAACCAACAGGCUUGAGGACAGGAGAGGGGAGUGGAAUUUCCGGUGUAGCGGUGAAAUGCGUAGAUACCGGAAGGAACACCAGUGGCGAAGGCGGCUCCCUGGACUGGUCCUGACGCUGAGGCGCGAAAGCGUGGGGAGCAACAGGAUUAGAUACCCUGGUAGUCCACGCCGUAACGAUGGGUGCUAGGUG
rnacentral:rRNA from 1 species